CUGCUCGGACACCUGCCCGGGCCAUGCCUCUGCCUUGAUGGCGGCGCUUGCUGGUGUCUUCGUGUGGGAUGAGGAGAGGAUCCAGGAGGAGGAGUUGCAGAGAUCCAUUAAAGAAAUGAAACGGCUGGAGGACGUGUCAUGCAUAUUUCAGAGCUCUGGAGUCGAGCAUCACCCUCCAGAAUCAAAAUCCCAAACAGAAGGGAAUGAAGAUUUAAAGGACAAAGAGGAACCAUGAGAAACGGCGAUGGAUAAAAAACAUUUUAAACUGUGGCGGCGCCCAAUUAUUGGCACCCAUCUUUACCAGUACCGAGUUUUUGGAACCUACACAGAUGUGACACCUUGGCAGUUCUUCAAUGUUCAGCUGGACACAAAGUAUAGAAAAAAGUGGGAAUCUCUGGUGAUCAAGCUGGAGGUAAUUGACGUGGUUAGUGGUUCUGAGGUUCUUCACUGGGUAACCCAUUUCCCUUAUCCGAUGUACUCUCGGGAUUAUGUGGAUCAAGAGAACAAUGUGAUGGUGUUGGUGUCACUUGCUGUACAACACCCCAUUGUGCCAGAGUCUCCAGAAUUUGUGAGGGUCAGAUCCUAUGAAUCCCAAAUGGUUAUCCGUCCCCACAAGUCAUUUGAUGAGAAUAGCUUUGACUACUUGUUGACAUACAGUGACAAUCCCCAGACUGUGUUUCCUCGCUAUUGUGUUAGUUGGAUGGUUUCCAGCGGCAUGCCAGAUUUCCUGGAAAAGCUUCACAUUGCCACUCUGAAAGCCAAGAACAUGGAGAUCAAAGUGAAGGACUACAUCUCGGCUAAGCCUCUAGAAAUGAACAGUGAGGCCAAGGCCACUUCCCAGUCCUCUGAGUGGAAGACUGGGGGUAGGCAUAGCCCUGCUCAGAUUGAAUAUGCCUGA